GUGAACGCUGGCGGUAGACCUAACACAUGCAAGUCGAACGGCAGCACAGUAAGAGCUUGCUCUUACGGGUGGCGAGUGGCGGACGGGUGAGGAAUACAUCGGAAUCUACUUUUUCGUGGGGGAUAACGUAGGGAAACUUACGCUAAUACCGCAUACGACCUACGGGUGAAAGCAGGGGAUCUUCGGACCUUGCACGAUUGAAUGAGCCGAUGUCGGAUUAGCUAGUUGGCGGGGUAAAGGCCCACCAAGGCGACGAUCCGUAGCUGGUCUGAGAGGAUGAUCAGCCACACUGGAACUGAGACACGGUCCAGACUCCUACGGGAGGCAGCAGUGGGGAAUAUUGGACAAUGGGCGCAAGCCUGAUCCAGCCAUACCGCGUGGGUGAAGAAGGCCUUCGGGUUGUAAAGCCCUUUUGUUGGGAAAGAAAAGCAGCAGGUUAAUACCCCGCUGUUCUGACGGUACCCAAAGAAUAAGCACCGGCUAACUUCGUG
rnacentral:rRNA from 1 species